AAUGUCCAAUAGGAAAAUACCCGUAUAAUUGCAGGAAUAAGGCCUGCACGUUUCUACCGAGCCACCGUAAAUGGCUUGACUACGGCAUGAUAAAUGGAGCGC
rnacentral:ncRNA from 14 species